rnacentral:rRNA from 1 species
CGAUAGCGUAUAUUAAUGUUGUUGCAGUUAAAAAGCUCGUAGUUGGAUUUCUGGUGGGAGCGGCCGGUCCGCCGUAAGGUGUGUACUUGGUUGUCUCCUGUCAUCCUUGUGGGAACUGCUCAGGCAUUAAGUUGUCGGGGUUAGGGAACACAUCGUUUACUGUGAAAAAAUUAGAGUGUUUAAAGCAGGCUUAUGCCGUUGAAUACAUUAGCAUGGAAUAAUAAGAUAGGACUUUGGCGUCUAUUUUGUUGGUUUGCACACCAAGGUAAUGAUUAAUAGGGAUAGUUGGGGGUAUUCGUAUUUAAUUGUCAGAGGUGAAAUUCUUGGAUUUAUGAAAGACGAACUUCUGCGAAAGCAUUUACCAAAGAUGUUUUCAUUA